rnacentral:rRNA from 1 species
UGGCGGACGGGUGAGUAAUGUCUGGGAAACUGCCUGAUGGAGGGGGGAUAACUACUGGAAACGGUAGCUAAUACCGCAUAACGUCGCAAGACCAAAGAGGGGGACCUUCGGGCCUCUUGCCAUCGGAUGUGCCCAGAUGGGAUUAGCUAGUAGGUGGGGUAAAGGGCUCACCUAGGCGACGAUCCCUAGCUGGUCUGAGAGGAUGACCAGCCACACUGGAACUGAGACACGGUCCAGACUCCUACGGGAGGCAGCAUG